rnacentral:rRNA from 1 species
UACGUAGGGGGCAAGCGUUGUCCGGAAUCAUUGGGCGUAAAGAGCGUGUAGGCGGCCCGAUAAGUCCGCCGUGAAAGUCCAGGGCUCAACCCUGGAAUGCCGGUGGAAACUGUCGGGCUGGAGUCCGGAAGAGGCGAGUGGAAUUCCUGGUGUAGCGGUGAAAUGCGCAGAUAUCAGGAGGAACACCCGUAGCGAAGGCGGCACUCUGGGCCGAUUCUGACACUGAGGAGCGAAAGCGUGGGGAGCGAACAGG